AGGUUCAAUUCCUAUCUCUCUAA
rnacentral:tRNA from 1 species